rnacentral:rRNA from 1 species
GACGUAGGGCGCGAGCGUUUGUCCGGAAUUAUUGGGCGUAAAGAGCUCGUAGGCGGUCUGUCGCGUCUGCUGUGAAAACUCGGGGGCUUAACCCCCGGGCCUGCAGUGGGUACGGGCAGACUAGAGUGCGGUAGGGGGAGACUGGAAUUCCUGGUGUAGCGGUGAAAUGCGCAGAUAUCAGGAGGAACACCGGUGGCGAAGGCGGGACUCUGGGCCGAUACUGACGCUGAGGAGCGAAAGCGUGGGGAGCAAACAGG